AGAACGAACGCUGGCGGCAGGCUUAACACAUGCAAGUCGAACGCUCGUAGCAAUACAGGAGUGGCAGACGGGUGAGUAACGCGUGGGAACAUACCCUCCGGUUCGGAAUAGCUCAGGGAAACUUGGAUUAAUACCGGAUACGGCUGAGAGGCGAAAGAUUUAUCGCCGGAGGAUUGGCCCGCGUUCGAUUAGCUUGUUGGUGAGGUAACGGCUCACCAAGGCGAUGAUCGAUAGCUGGUCUGAGAGGAUGAUCAGCCACAUUGGGACUGAGACACGGCCCAAACUCCUACGGGAGGCAGCAGUGGGGAAUAUUGGACAAUGGGCGCAAGCCUGAUCCAGCCAUGCCGCGUGAGUGAUGACGGCCGUUAGGGUUGUAAAGCUCUUUCGCUCGGGACGAUAAUGACGGUACCGAGAUAAGAAGCCCGGCUAACUUCGCGCCAGCAGCCGC
rnacentral:rRNA from 1 species